rnacentral:rRNA from 1 species
ACUCCUACGGGAGGCAGCAGUGAGGAAUAUUGGUCAAUGGGUGAGAGCCUGAACCAGCCAUCCCGCGUGCAGGAUGACGGUCCUAGUGAUUGUAAACUGCUUUUCUAUGAGAUGAAUAAGAAUUACGUGUAGUUCGAUGACCGUAUUAUAGGAAUAAGCAUCGGCUAACUCCGUGCCAGCAGCCGCGGUAAU